rnacentral:rRNA from 1 species
CCUACGGGCGGCAGCAGUGGGGAAUAUUGCGCAAUGGGCGCAAGCCUGAUGCGGCCAUGCCGCGUGUGUGAAGAAGGCCUUCGGGUUGUAAAGCACUUUCAGCGGGGAGGAAGGCGGUGAGGUUAAUAACCUCAUCGAUUGACGUUACCCGCAGAAGAAGCACCGGCUAACUCCGUGCCAGCAGCCGCGGUAAUACGGAGGGUGCAAGCGUUAAUCGGAAUUACUGGGCGUAAAGCGCACGCAGGCGGUCUGUCAAGUCGGAUGUGAAAUCCCCGGGCUCAACCUGGGAACUGCAUUCGAAACUGGCAGGCUAGAGUCUUGUAGAGGGGGGUAGAAUUCCAGGUGUAGCGGUGAAAUGCGUAGAGAUCUGGAGGAAUACCGGUGGCGAAGGCGGCCCCCUGGACAAAGACUGACGCUCAGGUGCGAAAGCGUGGGGAGCAAACAGGAUUAGAUACCCCAGUAGUC